rnacentral:rRNA from 1 species
UACGUAGGGGGCGAGCGUUGUCCGGAGUUACUGGGCGUAAAGCGCACGCAGGCGGUCUGUGAAGUUUGGAGUGACAGUUGGUGGCUCAACCACCAAAGUGCUUUGAAAACUGAUAGACUUGAGGGCUUCAGAGGGACACGGAAUUCCGGGUGGAGUGGUGAAAUGCGUAGAGAUCUGGAGGAACACCAAAGGCGAAGGCAGUGUCCUGGGGAGUACC